rnacentral:misc_RNA from 1 species
GAAAUGCUAUAAGUAAUGUGAAUUGCAGAAUUCAGUGAAUCAUCGAAUCUUUGAACGCACAUUGCGCCCCUUGGUAUUCCGGGGGGCAUGCCUGUUCGAGCGUCAUUACAACCCUCAAGCUCUGCUUGGAAUUGGGCACCGUCCUCACUGCGGACGCGCCUCAAAGACCUCGGCGGUGGCUGUUCGGCCCUCAAGCGUAGUAGAAUACACCUCGCUUUGGAGUGGUUGGCGUCGCCCGCCGGACGAACCUUCUGAACUUUUCUCAAGGUUGACCUCGGAUCAGGUAGGGAUACCCGCUGAACUUAAGC